rnacentral:rRNA from 1 species
GGGUGGGAUCAUACCAGCGUUAAUGCACCGGAUCCCAUCAGAACUUCACAGUUAAGCGCGCUUGGGCUAGAGUAGCACUGGGAUGGGCGACCUCUCGAGAAGUCCUAGUGUUGCACCCU